AAUAAGUUGGCCUGGAACCACACACACACAAUAAACAGUACGACAAGUCUGCACAGACUCUUACUCUGGGACUAGCUCUUGUAAAAAAAGACGACUCUGGUUAGCGCGAUGUAUAAUUUAAUAAGUUCAGCAUGGAAUACAAUUGUACAGAGUUGGAACUGCUCAGUGUAAUACUAAAUCCAAUCUGCCACAUUAAAAUAACAACAUAGUUUAUACAACAAACCAAAAACUACUUGAAUAGACUUGACAAAUAUUUCUCUAAAUGAGUGAGAAAAUUCAAAUAAGGGAUUACAGAAAAAUUAACACAUAGAUAAUAAUUAACAAU
rnacentral:lncRNA from 1 species